rnacentral:lncRNA from 15 species
UUAAAAAGGGGGGUUUUUUUAAANNNNNNNNNNNNNNNNNNNNUUUUUCACCUGUUAUUGGCCUCGGAAACUUUCAAAAUGAAAGAAAGAAAAGAAAGAAAGCUGAAUCUUGGUCAUUGAGUGAAUUCCAGUCCAAUCUUCUGAAGCAAGCUGCCUUUUCAAGUGGGGGGAGCUGCAGGUGAAACCUCACAAGAUUGAGGGCCACCUGACAGUGGGAGCACUGGGCUGUCAGUGGGUGUGACUGUGUGGCAAAUGGUUUACAUGGCUUAUGGCUCAGGUAGGAGGGCCCCUUAGCAGAGGUUUGCUGAAGGCCCCAGGGAGGUCAGGACUGGCUCUGGGUACCAGGUUGCUGAAGGGGGGAGGGGGCAUGGAUGAUCUGAAGAGGAGGCGGGUGGCGAGCAUCAGGUCUGUGUGUGAGUUCAUCGGCGCACUGGGACCACCUGGCCAGUCUCCCAAGGGCUCUGAAGAUCUGGACCCCUCGUUCCUCCAGCCAUGUUCCUGUUUGGUUGGCUCCGGCCGUGUCAUUAGUUCAGUUUCUGCACCUCACAACGCCCUCAUUUAUGUGCUGACACACUGAUACCACUGACCAACACACCUCAUCAUUCCACUGUGGGAUUGCACUUGCAUUAUAUUUUAGUAAUAAACUCGUUCAUCUUUGACUUCAAACCGUUUAUCUCCCAUUUAUUGUCACAGCUCAGGAGCCGGGUGUCACACUGACAUGUGAAUAUAUGGAGGACUGCACUUUCCUGUAUCCAUAUUGUUCAAUAAGCAGCAGACACAGGUUCAUUCAGUUCACAAUGAUUCGUUGUUUCCAUUCCUCUAAGGCACUGGCUCCCAGCCUUUAUCCUUCAGGGACACCUUUUCUAUCACUGAGUAAACUAUAUGUUACACAUAUUUCAUAUUAUAUUGAAUAAUAACAAUAACAGCAGAGAACAGCUGAUAAACUGAACAAUGAACCCAAACAGUGAACACAAUAACUGCAGCAAGUUUGUGUAAAACCAGAGAUUUGGAUGAAGUUUGAGCAGAUUAUUUCCUUUGAAUAUUGAUCAGAGAUCAGUUUUCCUGAUAUUUUAGGGAACUUUUUAUACAAUUCUCUGUCUGUAUUAUGUAUUCUUUAGUUAUUUAGUAGGUCGGGAGGCCUUCUUGGUUUUAUGGGGUGUUAGAAAACUUUAGAAAAUAAAUACAGUAGACAUAUCUCAGCAUUUUUGUUUGAUUUGACUUUGAAGACCUGAACACAAACUAUAUUCACAGAACCUCUGAUAAACAGCCUCGUCCUGCAUUAAAGAAGUUCAAACAACCAAAGAGCUAAAAUAAAAAUAUAUAUAACAGUCAUAUUGUACAUAUUAUUUUUCUCUUUAUAAUGUUUUUAUUUUUGUGCUUUUUGACUUGAAGUCCGUGUUUCCUUUAUUUAUAGUUUUUAGCACUUUAUGUUUAUUAUGUACAAAGAUAACAAGGCAAAUUCCUUGUAUUGAAAACCUUCUUAUAAUAAAACUCACUCUGAUUCUAAUAUCUUGUUCUUUACAUUUUCUUUAAUUAGCAAGUAAAUAACAGACUUUAAUAUCUUCUCACCUCCGAUAUAAAACUCAGGAUGAAUGUAAUUAUGUAACAUUAAUUGUUUUCAUUGUAUUCUGGUGUAAUCAACAUAUUUACUCCUUUAAAUUCAUUCAAAAUGUUUCUGUGACGCCUACAAAUGUAUAGUCACAACUGUUAAAAUGUUUUGUGUAUUAGCCAGUGAAAAAGGUCAAAUGUUAAUGAAUCUUUACAAGACAUGGGAGUAGUAGUUUUAAAAGUGCAAUUUCCCAGUUGUGCCACAAGAGGGAGUGUCCACUUUGGUGAGCGCUAGUAGGGCUGCGUGAGGCUUCUCCUGCACAAAACAGGUUAGUAGUGUGUCAUAUCUUGUCACAAAGCAUUUAUAAGGACUUUUUUUUAUAAGGACUUCAUUAUGUUGUUUUGACAACGUUUGAUGUGUAAAACAGUAGUUUGCUCAGCUAAGAAACUGAGUUUUCCUGCAAUGAAAUCUUGCUCGCUCCUCUUAAUACUUCUUUUAUUUCUGGUCCCUGCUCCUUGACAUACCCUCUGUCUUGUAUUUGUUUUGUCAAAGCUUUGUGAAGUACGGUUGUGUACAGGGGCGGAUCUAGAAAAAUAUUGAUGGGGUGGCGAGAGGGAGGCAGGAAUUUUUGAAGGGUGGCAACAUAUGGCAGACGUGUAUAUAUACUGAAUUUAAUCACAGUUUGAUGACAAAUAGUAUGUACACACUACAAAAGGGCACGGGCUGCCAUUUACAAACUCAUACAGACAAACUUAAUCUCAUGCAAUCAAUGUCUUGCAUUUGAGGUUUCAUGUGAAACAGUUCAUAUUAGGAAGAAGUGACCAUACAAUGUGAUCUCACUUAAUAGGAGAUAGAAGUAUGGUAACACUACUGUAGGUGGGGCAUUAUCACAGGAAAGGCAUUAAGGUAAAACACAGGUGAUGAGUGGCAGAUGUAUCAGAGGGGAAGCAAACAGUUUUUGAUUGUGUCAGAGAGGCAGCGUUGCAGGCAGCAUUUGUACCAGAAGAAACUAUCCAAAGAAAUACUUACCCAUGAAGAUCUAUGGACUGAGCUGUACUAAGGUGAGCAUAAAUACACUGUGGAAAUAAAUGGGUCACGGCACUCAAACAAGGUACUGGACAUGACUUUUAUUGUUUACUCAGAACACACAUUCUCCCCAUUUGUCCCUCAGUAGCUUGAACAAUUUUUUGACAUUUUGUUUACACCAUUUACACCAGUGUCACAUUUGAAA